rnacentral:rRNA from 1 species
UUUCUUAGUAGCGGCGAGCGAAAAGAAAACAGUUCAGCACUAAGUCACUUUGUCUUUAUGGCAAAUGUGAGAUGCAGUGUAUGGAAUGUCAAAUUUCUAGUAUGAGAAAUUAACGAUUUAAGUCCUUCUUAAAUGAGGCCAUUUACCCAAAGAGGGUGCCAGGCCCGUAUAACGUUAAUGAUUACUAGAUGGCAUUUCCAAAGAGUCGUGUUGCUUGAUAGUGCAGCACUAAGUGGGUGGUAAACUCCAUCUAAAACUAAAUAUAACCAUGAGACCGAUAGUAAACAAGUACCGUGAGGGAAAGUUGAAAAGAACUCUGAAUAGAGAGUUAAAUAGUACGUGAAACUGCUUAGAGGUUAAGCCCGAUGAACCUGAAUAUCCAUUAUGGAAAAUUCAUCAUUACGAUUAUGAUAUUUAUUAUAUGUUGUGUAUGUGGUUUUUGUUACUGUAUACACAAAUAUAAAACAUAUAAAUUAUGUUAUAAUAAUGGUGUGCAUUUUUUCCAUAAAAGGACAUUGUAAUCUAUUAACAUAUUUUAAAUAUUUAUCAUAAGAUCAAAUGGCAAGAGUUUAUUCAAAUUAUUUUGUUUUCAAUUUAACAUAGAAUAAAUGCUUUUGAUUUGAUAAAGUGUUGAUAGAUUGAUUAUUGGAAUAUAGUGCUUAAAUAUAUAUGUUAUGUAUAUAUUUUAUAAUGGCAUAUGGAUUUAAAUAAUUAAUUUUAUUUUAUGUUGUAUGCUUAUUAUAUGCACUUAUAUGAUUAACAAUGCGAAAGAUUCAGGAUACCUUCGGGACCCGUCUUGAAACACGGACCAAGGAGUCUAACAUAUUUGCAAGUUAUUGGGAAUUUGAAAACCUAAUAGCGAAAUUAACAUAACUUAAUAUUUUUUCAUAUGUAAUUAUAUAUAUAUUUUAUAUAUAUAUGUUAUGUAUGAAAUUUGGGAUUAGUUUUUAGACUGCGGUCUUAUUAAUUCAAUCCCGGGGCGUUCUAUAAAGUUAUGUAUAAUAAUAUUUAUAUUAUUUAUACCUCUAACUAGAGCGUACCCUGAGCAUAUAUGCUGUGACCCGAAAGAUGGUGAACUAUACUUGAUCAGGUUGAAGUCAGGGGAAACCCUGAUGGAAGACCGAAACAGUUCUGACGUGCAAAUCGAUUGUCAGAAUUGAGUAUAGGGGCGAAAGACCAAUCGAACCAUCUAGUAGCUGGUUCCCUCCGAAGUUUCCCUCAGGAUAGCUGGUGCAUCUAAAAAUAAUGUAAAAUAAUCUUAUCUGGUAAAGCGAAUGAUUAGAGGCCUUAGGGUCGAAACGACCUUAACCUAUUCUCAAACUUUAAAUGGGUAAGAACCUCACCUUACUUGGCAUGAAGGUUGUGGUUGUGAUAUAAUGUGCCCAGUGGGCCACUUUUGGUAAGCAGAACUGGCGCUGUGGGAUGAACCAAACGUAAUGUUACGGUGCCCAAAUUGACAACUCAUGCAGAUACCAUGAAAGGCGUUGGUUGCUUAAAACAGCAGGACGGUGGACAUGGAAGUCGUAAUCCGCUAAGGAGUGUGUAACAACUCACCUGCCGAAGCAACUAGCCCUUAAAAUGGAUGGCGCUUAAGUUGUAUACCUAUACAUUACCGCUAAAGUAGAUGGUUUAUAUUCAAUUUCGGUUGGAUUUAUAAACUUUGAAACUUUAGUGAGUAGGAGGGUACUAUGGUGUGCUUGGAAGUGUUUGGCGUAAGCCUGCAUGGAGCCGCCAUUGGUACAGAUCUUGGUGGUAGUAGCAAAUAAUCGAAUGAGACCUUGGAGGACUGAAGUGGAGAAGGGUUUCGUGUGAACAGUGGUUGAUCACGAGUUAGUCGGUCCUAAGUUCAAGGCGAAAGCUGAAAAUUUUUCAAGUUAUAAUGAAAAGUCGUCUGUCCUAUAUGUGUACAAUAAAAGUAAGACACGAUCAAAUAUAUAUAUAUGAUUAUGGCCUUACUGGGGCGCUUAGUAAUUAAACACUUGAAUAAUUUUGAACGAAAGGGAAUACGGUUCCAAUUCCGUAACCUGUUGAGUAUCCGUUUGUUAUUAAAUAUGGGCCUCUGUGCUCAUCCUGGCAACAGGAACGACCAUAAAGAAGCCGUCGAGAGGUAUCGGAAGAGUUUUCUUUUCUGUUUUAUAGUCGUACUACCAUGGAAGUCUUUCGAAGAGAGAUAUGGUAGAUGGACUAGAAGAGCAUGACAUUUACUGUUGUGUCGAUAUUUUCUCCUCGGACCUUGAAAAUUUAUGGUGGGGUCACGCAAACUUCUCAACAGGCCGUACCAAUAUCCGCAGCUGGUCUCCAA